AAAAAAACAAUUAAUGAUUUAAUUAGUAAUAUUUUAGUGUUCAGUAUUUUUCAAGAGAGUUAAAUAUAUUUUUGUCAUUCUGCUCACACUUACAAAAGUUAAGAAAGCAGGUUAGCUGUAUUAAGUAUGGAUGGACCUUGUUUUGUGAAGUUGCUUUGGAUUAGAGGAACUUGUUAAAUCUGUAAUUAGAUCUGCUGUGUUUUGUGUGUACAUAGUUUGCCUGAUUGUAUUGUUUUUCUUUCAUAAUAUUAUGAUUCUCACAGCUGUUUUUAACUUACAGAAUUUGCUAGGUGCAUUAUUAUUUUGGACAAUUUGAUGAAGAAUACAUUUUUUGGAGACAAAUUUUACAAUAAAAUUUUAUACUAC
rnacentral:misc_RNA from 1 species